GACGAACGCUGGCGGCGUGCUUAACACAUGCAAGUCGAACGGAAAGGCCCUGCUUUUGUGGGGUGCUCGAGUGGCGAACGGGUGAGUAACACGUGAGUAACCUGCCCUUGACUUUGGGAUAACUUCAGGAAACUGGGGCUAAUACCGGAUAGGAGCUCCUGCUGCAUGGUGGGGGUUGGAAAGUUUCGGCGGUUGGGGAUGGACGCGCGGCUUAUCAGCUUGUUGGUGGGGUAGUGGCUUACCAAGGCUUUGACGGGUAGCCGGCCUGAGAGGGUGACCGGCCACAUUGGGACUGAGAUACGGCCCAGACUCCUACGGGAGGCAGCAGUGGGGAAUAUUGCGCAAUGGGCGGGCGCCUGAUGCGGCAACGCCGCGUGCGGGAUGACGGCCUUCGGGUUGUAAACCGCUUUCGCCUGUGACGAAGCGUGAGUGACGGUAAUGGGUAAAGAAGCACCGGCUAACUACGUG
rnacentral:rRNA from 1 species